UAGGGAAUCUUCCACAAUGGACGCAAGUCUGAUGGAGCAACGCCGCGUGAGUGAAGAAGGUUUUCGGACCGUAAAGCUCUGUUGUUGGUGAAGAAGGAUAGAGGUAGUAACUGGCCUUUAUUUGACGGUAAUCAACCAGAAAGUCACGGCUAACUACGUGCCAGCAGCCGCGGUAAUACGUAGGUGGCAAGCGUUGUCCGGAUUUAUUGGGCGUAAAGCGAGCGCAGGCGGAAGAAUAAGUCUGAUGUGAAAGCCCUCGGCUUAGCCGAGGAAUUGCAUCGGAAACUGUUUUCUUGAGUGCAGAAGAGGAGAGUAGAACUCCAUGUGUAGCGGUGGAAUGCGUAGAUAUAUGGAAGAAUACCAGUGGCGAAGGCGGCUCUCUGGUCUGCAACUGACGCUGAGGCUCGAAAGCAUGGGUAGCGAACAGGAUUAGAUACCCUGGUAGUCCAUGCCGUAAACGAUGAGUGCUAAGUGUUGGGAGGCUUCCGCCUCUCAGUGCUGCAGCUAACGCAUUAAGCACUCCGCCUGGGGGAGUACGACCGCAAGGUUGAAAC
rnacentral:rRNA from 1 species